GACAGAGGUGCCGAGCGUUAGGCGGGAUCACUGGGCUUAAAGCGUGUGUAGGCGGGCGAUCAAGUACCUUGUGAAAUCCCACGGCUCAACCGUGGAACCGCUGGGUAUACUGGUUGUCUUGAGCCGGCUAGGGGCGAGCGGAACAGACGGUGGAGCGGUGAAAUGCGUAGAUAUCGUCUGGAACGCCGAAGGUGGAAACAGCUCGCUGGGGCCGCGCUGACGCUGAGACACGAAAGCCAGGGGAGCGAACGGG
rnacentral:rRNA from 1 species